UACAAUAACUCCAUUUAAGUCACACAUUCGUGGAACCUAGGUGGGUGGAACCUGCACACAUAUCUCAAAAACGGCUCACACGAAUUUCCUAGAAAUUUAACAGUUGAUGUAUAUCGCUGAGAAAAAAAUACUUGACGGCAACACUGGGAAAACUCGAGUUUGACCGUUAUAGUUUUACAAAGUAAAAAAAAAAGAAAGAAAUUCAUUAAUUUUUAAAUUUGACUAGUUUAGAUUUAGAUCCACCAUCGUGUUCGGGAAUUUCCGAAUAUAAUAUAUUAUUGAUUCAAGAGUUUAAUAAAUUAAAGAAUAAUUUUACGCACCGUCUGCUAAUGACAUCAAGUUUUAAUGACGGGAUAAACCUCCUUUCCAUUGUAAUCUACCUCUAUGUGAAUAUAUUAACAAGUGUUUUUAAGUUUUCUUUGAGUUUCAUUUAUUACUACAAAAAGUAUUAUCUACCUAAAUUGAAAGCUACACUUAUCAUUAAUAUUCGGACUUGAAGAAAAGCCUUAUUAUAGGGUAGGAAAGGGAGAGUCAGUGGGCUGGACGUAAUCACAAGAACUGAAGGUGAACUGAUAGUAAGCAACAUCUCUGUCAUAGCAACAUCUCUGUCAUAGCAACAUCUCUGUCAUAGCAACAUCUCUGUCAUAAGCAACAUCUCUGUCAUAGCAACAUCUCUGUCAUAGCAACAUCUCUGUCAUAGCAACAUCUUUGUCAUAGCAACAUCUCUGUCAUAGCAACAUCUCUGUCAUAGCAACAUCUCUGUCAUAGCAACAUCUCUGUCAUAAGCAACAUCUCUGUCAUAGCAACAUCUCUGUCAUAGCAACAUCUCUGUCAUAGCAACAUCUCUGUCAUGUCCUGUGUAUUCCCAAUAAAG